CAGAAUUUCCAUGAAGAGAUUUAUUCAAGCGGUGAGCGUGGCCACUAAGGGCAGGAGAGGAGCUGGCUUCUUCCUCAAGGAGUGUCUAUUAUUAACAACUGAGACCGGUCUAAUAUAAACUAAGAACAAAAAGGAAAGAAAAAUGCUCUUCUGUACAACAUCAUUCAUGAGGACAUCCAAAAGAACUUCACAGGCAAUGGAACACUUUAAGGUCACUAAAUGUAAUUCCAGUCCAAUAAGUAAUAAACAGAACAGUCUGCUGAUCGUAAA